rnacentral:rRNA from 1 species
UGGGGAAUAUUGCACAAUGGGCGCAAGCCUGAUGCAGCCAUGCCGCGUGUGUGAAGAAGGCCUUCGGGUUGUAAAGCACUUUCAGCGAGGAGGAAGGGUUCAGUGUUAAUAGCACUGUUCAUUGACGUUACUCGCAGAAGAAGCACCGGCUAACUCCGUGCCAGCAGCCGCGGUAAUACGGAGGGUGCAAGCGUUAAUCGGAAUUACUGGGCGUAAAAGCGCACGCAGGCGGUUUGUUAAGUCAGAUGUGAAAUCCCCGCGCUUAACGUGGGAACUGCAUUUGAAACUGGCAAGCUAGAGUCUUGUAGAGGGGGGUAGAAUUCCAGGUGUAGCGGUGAAAUGCGUAGAGAUCUGGAGGAAUACCGGUGGCGAAGGCGGCCCCCUGGACAAAAGACUGACGCUCAGGU